GCGGAGACGUAAGUUUCCGUUCACUCCUCACACCACACUCCGCCUGGAUGAUGUUCGGGCGGUU
rnacentral:sRNA from 1 species